rnacentral:tRNA from 18 species
GGGCGGUUAGCUCAGCGGUAGAGCAUCGCCUUCACACGGCGAGGGUCGCAGGUUCGAACCCUGCACCGCCCACCA